rnacentral:lncRNA from 1 species
GUAAGGACCUUGUUAAAACGCAGUUUCUGACUCAGUAGUGUGAAUGGGGCCAGAAUGCUGCAUUUCUAACACUCUCCCAGAUGGUGCCAAUGUUCCUCAUCCACAGACCACAGCUGAAGUAGCAACUAUGUAAACCUCAGGCUACUCAUCACAGUGCAGAGUGAUUUCACCUAAAGGCACAACAGCAGCUGAUUGCCACAAUACAAACAAGAGCCGCCACUUACUGACAGCAGCUACGUGCCAGGUAAGUCAAAUGAGGAAGAACACCUUCAGUGUGGGGGAGAAAUGGGUCUUCAACGUCAUCUUAGACCAGUGGCUCUCAAAGUAUAUAACAGCAGCGUCAACAUCAGCAUUAUCUGGGAACGUGUUGGAGAUGUGAAUUCUUGGGUUCCACUUCAGACAACGAAUCAGAAAUUCUGGGGUAUGUGAGAAGAAACAUAAAGAAAAAUACCUGUGCUUGUGAAAGAAAGAGGCAAAGAAAAUAUUUUGAAGUGAGAAGCCCACAAGAAGGACCAUUGUAUCUGCUAGUCCUUCUGCUGAAAAGGCCCAUUGCCCAGCCUCUUCUCAGGUCUCAGUUCAAAGAAGGAAAGCCUCAAAGAAGCCUUCCUUGAUCAUCCUGCUCUCUAUCUCAGCCACCUCCACAGCUCUUACCAAACUCCAUAUCUACUGUGUCUUGUUAUUUGUUAUCCCUCUGUCCCACUGGUUAUAAACUCUAUUAUAGCUGUCUGCAUUGUUUAUCACUGUGUCCCCACUACUUAGGAACAGUCCUUGGAACAAAACUGAUGAUAAAAAAUAAAGUGUUCAAUGAAUGAAUAAAUAUUUGAUUUUCUAUGCUUUUGGAGAGUAAUUUGUGGCUCCAGUUCUGAGAUUAUUUUUUAUCUUUAUCUAACUUAAG